UUGCUUUGGCAGCAUGCAUACUAAAAUUGGAAUGACACAAAGAAGAUUAGCAAGGCCCCUGUGCAAGGAUGACAUGCAAGUUCGUGAAGCGUAAAUAAAUAAA
ensembl:snRNA U6 U6 spliceosomal RNA